UAAACCGAUUGCAUUUCUUGUCAAUCACUGUGGAUUUUUAAUCUUCCUCUCAUCUACCUUUUUUACCAGUUGUCUGAUAAACUGAAAAAGAAGCAGGACAGUUUCCAGCGUCUGCAGACAGAAAAGGAGAUUUUGUACAACGACAGCAGGACAAAGAUCGAUGAGAUUAAUCAGAGAAAAGAAGAUGAGCUGAAAACACUGAACCUCCGUAUCCAGAAGCUACAGUCCGACGUCGCUGCAGCCAAUCUGGUCAGAGCUCACUGUGAAAACAGUGAUUUUGCAGCAUAGUUUUUAUGUUUAGAAGAUUCAGAUGGAUCAGCGUUGUGUAGGUUUUCAGUUUAGUUUUUUUGAUUUUACUCGUAAUCACACCUUGAUACACUAUGUUACCAAA